GGGUGACGAAGCGACGCCGCGUGGGUGAGGAAGGCCCUCGGAUUGUAAAGCCCUGUCAGGAGUUAAGAGAUGUAGAUACGCUAAUAUCGUAUCUAUUUGACAAAGGCUCCAAAGGAAGCCACGGCUAACUCUGUGCCAGCAGCCGCGGUAAUACAGAGGUGGCAAGCGUUGUUCGGAAUUAUUGGGCGUAAAGAGCACGUAGGUGGAUUUGUAAGUCAGAUGUGAAAGCCUUCUGUUCAACGGAAGAAUUGCAUCUGAAACUACAAACCUUGAGUAUAGGAGGGGAGAAUGGAACUUCUGGUGGAGCGGUGAAAUGCGUAGAUAUCAGAAGGAACGCCGGCGGCGAAAGCGAUUCUCUGGCCUAUUACUGACACUCAGUGUGCGAAAGCUAGGGGAGCAAACGGGAUUAGAUACCCCGGUAGUCCUAGCCGUAAACGAUGGGCACUAAGUAGAGG
rnacentral:rRNA from 1 species